UGCCAUAUUGAUAGAUGAAAGUUUUUUUCCUUCAUUUAUUUCCGUCGUUUCUAAUAUCAUUUUUUAUUCAAGACUUAUUUACAAUAAAUAGUAUUUAGUAUAACAUGUGAACCUGUAAUACUUAGUUCUUAGCUGUGGUACAAAACCCGCACCCACGGUAUUAUUUGUAAAUGGAGCUCCUCAGACACUCACGGGCUAAUUACGGCGCGAAGCCGUAAACUCAGGCAACGGCAAAUAAAAAGUGCAUCGGCGACGAACGGAAACGUGAAGUUCAAAACGACACUCCGACAAACCUGGCGAGUGAGGCGGAUCGUCAACGCGGUACCUACUAUUAUCAUCGCUGGUUCAACAGGUAGGAAUUCCUAUACCGGCUUACCAGGCGUUGUUCAAGAAAGCAAAACCAUACAGCAAACAAUAGACUUAUUGAACACUUACAUUUUAC